rnacentral:rRNA from 1 species
ACAUGCCUACAUCAUAGCGUUAAUGCAUUGGAUCCCAUUAGAACUUUGUAGUUAAGCGGGCUUAUGCUAGAGUAGUACUAGGAUGGGUGAUCGCUCAGGAAGUCCUAGUGUUUUACAUGCC